CGAACUAAUGCAAAUGACGCGUCCGAGCGUUUUCCAAUUUGUUUUUGUGAGUUUUUCAUAGAUUUUCGCGUUGUUUUUAGUUAAAUUUGUGCAAAAUUUGUGUUUUAGUAAGUGUUAAGUUUAAUUUACAUCAAAGUUUUAUAAAUUUGUAAGAUUAUCACUGGAAAACAAAAGUGUAAACAGGACGCCAAGGGCCUCUAUGUUCACAAUUUACGUCCCUCGCGGGAGACGAAGAGUAAUGUCGAUUGGAGCAGAAUAAAAAAAUCGCUUAGGCGACCGACAAGUUCAGCCAAUUAUAAACGACAAGCAGCAGACCGUCGCGUUGGCACAAAUUGAGCGCCAUAAUGCAAAGUGAACAAGUUACAAGCUCUUAACAAAUCUAUUAUCUGCAUUCUCCCUUCAUUAAAGGUGCGUUCGAAAAGUUAAAAAGUGGCUCGGAAUGAAUCAUGGCGUGCGAUCCCCAUGAUAUAUUACACCAAAGCUGGCACCAUAAAGCAAACGGCGUGGCACUGCGAUACAACGAUAGCGACACAGGCCCGACAGACACCAGAGAUCGCGUCUGUUUUCAGAACGCAAAAUACAGGGUGUCUAAAAUUAACAAUUCACAGAUAAAAAAUCUGAUACGGCUACGAAAGGUGCAAUGAACAGGCGCGCGUCGAAUAAUUGAAGAGUGGAGCUUUCAACGGUUGCACACAAAAAGAAAGCACGCACACCAAGACGCUCGGGGUUCAUAUUUAUCACUUCACAGCUGCACACCUAUGAUCGAUGCUUAUCCAAGAUGGCCGCCAGCGCACUACGCCACACGCGGGAAAUAUGGGCACGCGCAUCUUCCACAAACAACUAUUGUUUAUAUCUAAUCAGCAAAUUUAGGACACUAGAAUCUCACAAUUGCACUGCUAAACGAACGUGCUCACCCGUACACGAUAUUCGCCUAACUAAAUGCUAAAAAACUUAAAUGUAUUCAAAACUUGAAAGCCAUAAAACAUAUCUCCCCCAUUAUUAGUUUAUGGUUUGCGACUGUUACGGGGCUAUUAUGUUCUUAUUUUUCUGUGUGUACGUUGUUUGUUUUGAUUGUAUGCGGUGGACGGACGAGCCAAUUUAGGGUACCAUUACAAAAUGCUAUUGAGUGGGCCAUAGCUCUUUUACUAUUGUUCAAGGUCGUUUCAGUUAUGACUUCACUAAAAAGCAUUAUAUUUGCUUUGUCUCUUAGACCUACUUGUAUUUCAUAAAAAUUCUUAAAAACAGGUAAGUCUACUGACGCGUAGGCAUGUUAUUAAUAACGAAAUAAUCAAAUUUGCUCUGAAUUAUUAUUGUAAAGUUGAGCAUAAAUCCUAAACAUUUCAGUAUCAAUGAAAACUUCUAUUAUUGUUUUAUUGGCUAUUUGUAUGAAUGACUAAUUCUUUACACAUAGGUAUGUGACUAACAUAACCUUUUAAUAUAAUAAAUCAUAAUCCCAUUCCAUUUUUAAUGAAAGGCCAUUAAAAUAGAAUUUAUAGUACGAUUCAACAAUACAUCUGAGCUGGAAUUCCCUUGAAGUUUGUAAUGCAAGGCAUAUACGUGAAGUGGAGCAACCUUCAAGUCGAUCUCUCAUGAGUCACGGAUGCACGCAGCAUUCUAUAGUGAUAUAUUACGAUGGCUUAGCUUUGCGGUCUAAACUGUUGUUUUGGAAAACAAAUCAAUAUUUUAUGUUGGUUUUCCUGAUGUAUGAGUUGUUCUAUGUGAACUCAGCUCUGUGAAAAUAUUGUUAAGUUUCAAAGAAUAUGUAUUUAUUUACCAUGAAUUGUCUCGUAACAUUGCGUUGGUACUUGGUACCUACAACACGGGUGUCUACAGUCUAAUGUAUUAAAUAUCGUGUACGUAUGUAAUAAUAAUGUAUAAAAAUAUCCAGUUAAACGGAUUAGCAAUUAUAUAAAUGAUACAAUUAUAAUAUAAAUGUUAUUUUCAAAUGCCUAUUGUUAUGAAUUUGUUGCAUGCAUUGCAUUACGAGAUGAUUUAUGUAGAGAUAUUUAAAUAAUAAAUAUAACAACUAUUUUCUGUAACAUUAGAAAAACGAAACAUUACUUAUAUCCUGCUCUAGGAUAUUAAGAUUUUUAAGGAAAAAAAUUGUAAAGUUUGUCUACGUUCCCUCAGGAAUGAAAUAUUGACAAACAUAAUGCUCCAUUUACGUACCUACCUAUAGGUAGAGAAUAAUUACGUAUUAUACAUCAUAAUAAAAAUGAUUCAGAAAACGAUAAAAUUUAAAACAUUAUUAAUAUGUUUAUUAACAUAGCAUGCAUUGAUAGAAACCUGUCUCCUGAAAGACUCCAAUAGAAAUCGAAUCGCAACAAUUUAACAGAAAAAUAAAAAGAAUUACAAAAUGAUACCAGUGCGUCGAUUGCGGAUUCUUCAAGUGAACAACUAGGUAGUGAUUACAAUAUCUCAUUUCCCUUUAAUAAAGGAGCAUUUAAAAUAUUCGGCCUCGAGCGAAAUUCACUCGGCAAUUUUGGAACCUGUUUAGAAAUUAUAGAGUCAGAUCUUGCUUACGUUUAGACGCAUGAGGGGGGACUGAGUGUAAGGAAUGAUUCUUUUAAAAUAUUAUCUACGUAGGUAUGAUAAUUAAAUAAUACAAAAGUUACUUUGUUUUUCUCACUCAAAUAAUUUAUAUAUAAUCAUGAUUAAAUAAAGAAAAGUUUCCACAAGGACUGAAACAUAAUAUAUAUAGGUAAAUGAAGCUCUAUGUCUCUAAGAGAACGAAAUUAUUGGAUGUAGUGCAUGUAUCUAGUGUUUCAAGAAAUAUUAUGUUUAUUCAAGUGUACAAGUCGAUUUAAAAUCGCACAUAAAUUAUUAAAUAAAUAUUAGCAAUUCA